GCUUACGUAGCUCAGUAGGGAGAGCACUCGGCUGAUAACCGGGAGGUCAAAGGUUCGAACCCUUUCGUAAGCA
rnacentral:tRNA from 2 species